GUCGGGAUAGCUCAGCAGUAGAGCAGAG
rnacentral:tRNA from 1 species